rnacentral:lncRNA from 1 species
ACGAAUGCCCCACAAACGCUGGUCAGAUACUUCGCAAACCCAUUUGACCAGGUAAACGUUAGUUACACGGCAAGCUGAGCCCAAUUACAACAUAAUCGUCCAUAGCUUCAACUUUUGUCUCUCCUUUAUCCUAUAUAAAUGGUCGAAAUGUAAUCAAAUUUAUCAUCAUCUUCACUAUAAGAUGGCGGCGUCUAUAGUUUCUUCCAUCAUUUUCUUUCUUCUUAUUAUCAUACUCUCACUUUUUGUAGAUGGACACGUUUUUGCUGCCCAAUAUUAGCAAGAAGAACACUCCACUUCAACCAGAAACUCUGCUUUCUGCGUUUGGGUCUGUCAAAACCGAAGACAAGUCAUUGGGCCUUUCAACAAAUAUCAAGCCCAUGAAGCCCAACGUAAACAACUCUUCUUCACUCUGCAACGGUAACAUUUAUCCUCAGUCAAACUUAUCUCCGGCUCCAGCUCACCUCCGUACGGGUCACACAGCUCAUCAGAUACAAAGACACAACCGAUUUGAUUCGCUUUGUUCCCCUGUCGUCUUAUAUACGUAGUGACGUGUAACCUAGGAGCCUCUCUUUUGGGUGUUGUUAUAUAAGGGGAAAGGGGAUUUUCAUACCCGUACUAUCUGCACUGUGGAUUUUCAUAACUGAACAAUUUCGUAGGGUAUUUUACAAUCUAAACUUCAAUAAAAUUUGAAUCUCAUACAUAUACUUGAUACAACGUGCAAAAAUCAGAGUCAAUUUAAUGGGUGUUAGUCAACUCCAUUACGGUGCUGAGUCAUCGUACACCUGUACGCUGACGUGUAUCAAAACGACGUCGUUUUCAUACCCGUACUAUCUGCGCCGUGGAUUUUCAUACCUGAACAAUUUUGUAGGGUAUUUUACAACCUAAACUUCAAUAAAAUCUGAAUCUCAUACCCUAUACUUGAUACAACGUGCAAAAAUCGGAGUCAAUCUAACGGCUGUUAGUCAACUCCGUUACGGUGCAUAUCGAAACGACGUUAUUUUGAUAUGUGUUCUCAAAGUUUUAAUUUUUUUUGCAAAAUUAGGGACUCGAACCCGCGAGCCGUAGUCACAUGAGAAGCACCGAACACCAACUGAUCCCACAACAUUCAUCGAACCCGCGAGCCGUAGUCAAUCGUUUUAAAUUGGGAGGAAAUUAUGAAUACUAGGGUUUCGAAUUGAGAAAUCGUUUUCUCAUUUCUUCUUCUUCUUCUCAGAAAUUAGGCAUGAAUAAAGUUUUACAAUGUGACUACGGCUUCGCACAACUUUUUGGGUUUAUAAGUUAAAAAGAUUGAGGAAUACUCGAUGAACGUUGUGGGAUCAAUUGGUAUUUGGUGCUUCCCAUGUGACUACAGCUUGCGGGUUCGAGUCCCCAGUUUUGCAAAAAAAUUUAAAACUUUGAGAACACAUAUCAAAACGACGUCGUUUCGAUACGCACCGUAACGAAGUUGACUAACGCCCGUUAGAUUGACUCCGAUUUUUGCACGUUGUAUCAAGCAUAGGGUAUGAGAUUCAAAUUUUAUUGAAGUUUAGGUUGUAAAAUACCUACAAAAUUGUCCAGGUAUGAAAAUCCACGGCACAUACAGUACGUGUAUGAAAACGACGUCGUUUUGAUACACGUCAGCGUACACGUGUACGAUGACUCAGCACCGUAACGGAGUUGACUAACACCCGUUAGAUUGACUCUGAUUUUUGCAUGUUGUAUCAAGUAUAGGUAUGAGAUUCAAAUUUUAUUGAAAUUUAGGUUGUAAAAUACCCUACGAAUUUGUCCAGGUAUGAAAAUCCACGGUGCAGAUAGUACGGGUAUGAAAAUCCCCUUUUCCCUGUUAUAUAAACCCCUCUCCGUCAUUGUAAUCUUUAAGCUAAAAUAAUUGAUUAAGAUUUCUCUUCACUUUCGUCUUAUUAAGACUUUCACCCAAAUAGAACACCCCAAAUUGGGUGAGUCUUCUACGUAAAUAUAGAUUACUUUUAACUCAUUUACUGAUUUAGAGACAGGUUAUCAUUGAAAGUACUAAAGGCUUGACACUAUAUAUGCCAUGUGUAAUGUGCAUGUGGAGCAAAAGAGACAAUGACCAUGAGGAAGAGGAACUUGGAAGAAAAUGGGGUCCAGGGAUCCAAAAUUAGAACUCCACCAAGCAUGUCGCGGCACAGUGGAAUGAAAAACAAUCAAGAUAACCGUAGGGGAAAACAAAUUUAUUAGCUGCGAUGCCUUGAAAAAACCUGUAGGCGGCGUGUCCAACGCCUGCAACAUGUACAAAAAAUGUAAGCUUGAAUCCCUCGCUCCAUAACCUCCUCCGCCUCCAAGCUCUUCCAAAUUUUACACAGUACGGACUUGGUCACUGAUUUCACUAUAUGAUGUAGUCCUAGAAAUAUUCAUGACUCAUCAAGGAUUGGUUUAAGGAAAAUCAAGAUCAAAUUAUAAAGAAGUUUCUAGAAGACAAUCAAUUCAUGGCUAUAUCAAGAAAGUGUCUAGAUACAAAGAACCAAUCUCCAUCAAUGUUGAUUGAUAAAAUCUUUCAAAUUUAUUCUUGAUUGAUUCAUGUAAUUAAUUUGAUUUAUUUUGUACUUAUGUUAUUGAUUUGUAAAUUGAGCCUAUAUAAGCUCAUGUUUCCUUUCAUUGUAAAUAUAUAGAUUUUUGGAAAAAAAUAAAGAGAGAGUUUCUCACUUUUAAAAGCUUAGGCUUUUGUUUUACUUGUUUUUUUCUAUUGUGUGUGAUUCCUUUAGAAAACAAGUGGAAUCUUUAUCUUUAUGUGCGAUUCAUUUAGAUAUUGAUUUGUGUUCUUAUCACAAAGUCAUUCCGCAACUUUGUGUGGCAAACUUCGAUCCAUACAACUAUCCAUCUCCAUCUCUAUCGAAUCUGUUGAGAGUGACCUUAGUCCAGCGACAGUUUCACCAUCUAUUCACUUUUAUCUUCAUCUUCCCUUCCAUUCGAAUCUGUUGAGAGCGACCUUAGUCCAGCAACAGCUUCUCCAUCAAUCACCACGCUCGUUCAUAUAUCACUAUAGCUUGGAAGGUGUCUGUGUAUGUAUACUGUAUACAUGCACGUUUUCUUACGUUGUGGUUUGGUUUGCGAUUUUUGUGGUUUUUCAUCCAUAUGCAGAAGUUUAUUUGUCAUAGCUAGUCAUACAUAUUUAUCAAAUGCAAAUAUGUAUGAUACUUUCGGUGAACAUCUAUAACUACAUUUUGUAAAAAUACGUAGAGAGUUAAAGCAUUGUACCCAAGGACUAUGCAUGGCUAAUAUCAAUUGAUUUCAGAUUAUUAGACCAUCUCCAUCACACAAAACAUUUUUGGAUGUCUUCCCCUAAUAAAAAAAAUAUAAAGUUAAAAAAAAUUAUAUUAUAAUUGAUAGUGUCUUUAAAACAUGAGACAUUCCUUUCAAAAUGUCUUACCAAAGACACAUGUUCAAAAGUUUUAAAGACAUUCAUAUAUAUAAUAUUAAUUUUUUUAAGUCGGGGAAUUAGUACACCCAAAAAUAUUUGUCUAAUGUGGAUGCUCUUAUGGCCUUGUUCUUUUAACAGUCGCGCGACUAAAACCAGCGAUUGAAUUUUGUAUAUAUUUUUUUUUACAGGUGAGUUUUGUAAUAAUGAGUAGUUUAAAGGGUAUAUCUAUAAAUUAGUAAAUUCCCAUCAAAAUAUCUAUUUUUACGCUGGAGAUGAAGAUAAAAUUCUACAGAUCUGCAAAUCUUUAUCAAUG